AGAGUUUGAUCAUGGCUCAGAGUGAACGCUGGCGGCAUGCCUAACACAUGCAAGUCGAACGGUAACAGGCCUGCAAGGGUGCUGACGAGUGGCGGACGGGUGAGGAAUACAUCGGAAUUUGCCCAGUCGUGGGGGAUAACGUAGGGAAACUUACGCUAAUACCGCAUACGACCUAACGGUGAAAGCGGGGGAUCGCAAGACCUCGCGCGGAUGGAUAAGCCGAUGUCGGAUUAGCUAGUUGGCGGGGUAAGAGCCCACCAAGGCGACGAUCCGUAGCUGGUCUGAGAGGAUGAUCAGCCACACUGGGACUGAGACACGGCCCAGACUCCUACGGGAGGCAGCAGUGGGGAAUAUUGGACAAUGGGGGCAACCCUGAUCCAGCAAUGCCGCGUGUGUGAAGAAGGCCUUCGGGUUGUAAAGCACUUUUAUCAGGAACGAAAUCUGCAGGAUUAAUACCCAUGCAGUCUGACGGUACCUGAGGAAUAAGCACCGGCUAACUUCGUGCCAGCAGCCGCGGUAAUACGAAGGGUGCAAGCGUUACUCGGAAUUACUGGGCGUAAAGGGUGCGUAGGUGGUCGUUUAAGUCCGUUGUGAAAUCCCUGGGCUCAACCUGGGAAUGGCAGUGGAUACUGGACGGCUAGAAUGCGGUAGAGGGUAGUGGAAUUCCCGGUAGCAGUGAAAUGCGUAGAGAUCGGGAGGAACACCAGUGGCGAAGGCGGCUACCUGGACCAGCAUUGACACUCAAGCACGAAAGCGUGGGGAGCAAACAGGAUUAGAUACCCUAGUAGUCC
rnacentral:rRNA from 1 species